rnacentral:rRNA from 1 species
UUAGAUACCCUAGUAUAUGGAUAGGUUUAGAAAUUAGUAUAAGUGAAAUUUAAUAAUUUUGGCGGUUAAUUAUUUUUAGAGGAGCUUGUUUUAAAUAGAAUUAACUCUUUAGAUUUUAGGUUUAAUAUAAUUUAUUCAUCUCCGUUAUCAAAUUUAUUUAAUAAAUAUUUUUAGUAUAUCAGGUCAAGAUGUAGUUUUUAUAAAAUAUAAUUAGCUACAAUUAUGGAAUAAUUGGAUAUUAUGUAAAUUGAAAAUUAAAUUUGAAUUUGAAUUUAAUUGUAAUAAUAACUAGAAAGUUAGUAUGAAUUAUAUUAAUUAAUGUACAUAUUGCCCGUCACUUCUAUUAUGAAUAGAAUAAGUCGUAACAAAGUA